rnacentral:sRNA from 1 species
GAUCAGGGCCGGGGUCAGCGGGAGGGUCAGGG